rnacentral:rRNA from 1 species
GUAGGGAAUAUUGGGCAAUGGAGGAAACUCUGACCCAGCCAUACCGCGUGAAGGAUGAAUGUCCUAUGGAUUGUAAACUUCUUUUAUCAGAGACGAAACUUCCGAUUUCGAAUUGGAACUGACGGUACCUGAUGAAUAAGCACCGGCUAACUCCGUGCCAGCAGCCGCGGUAAUACGGAGGGUGCAAGCGUUAUCCGGAUUUACUGGGUUUAAAGGGUGCGUAGGCGGGCUAGUAAGUCAGUGGUGAAAGCCUUGAGCUUAACUCAAGAAUUGCCCCUGAUACUGCUAGCCUUGAGUACAGUUGAGGUGGGCGGAAUGUGCCAUGUAGCGGUGAAAUGCGUAGAUAUGGCACAGAACACCAAUUGCGAAGGCAGCUUGCUAAGCUGUAACUGACGCUGAGGCACGAAAGCGUGGGUAGCGAACAGG